rnacentral:rRNA from 1 species
AUGAAGCUGGAUUCGCUAGUAAUCGCGCAUCAGCCACGGCGCGGUGAAUACGUUCCCGGGCCUUGUACACACCGCCCGUCAAGCCAUGGAAGCCGGGAGUGCCUGAGGUGCGUGAGCGCAAGCAGCGCCCUAAGGUAAAACCGGUGACUGGGGCUAAGUCGUAACAAGGUAGC